CCGGGAUGACUGAGUGGCGGACGGGUGAGUAACGCGUGGGUAACCUGCCCUGUACAGGGGGACAACAGUUAGAAAUGACUGCUAAUACCGCAUAAGCGCACAGGACCGCAUGGUCCGGUGUGAAAAACUCCGGUGGUACAGGAUGGACCCGCGUCUGAUUAGGUAGUUGGCGGGGUAACGGCCCACCAAGCCGACGAUCAGUAGCCGACCUGAGAGGGUGACCGGCCACAUUGGGACUGAGACACGGCCCAAACUCCUACGGAAGGCAGCAG
rnacentral:rRNA from 1 species